rnacentral:rRNA from 1 species
GAUGAACGCUGACAGAAUGCUUAACACAUGCAAGUCAACUUGAAUUUGGGUUUUUAACUUCGGUUUGGGUGGCGGACGGGUGAGUAACGCGUAAAGAACUUGCCUCACAGCUAGGGACAACAUUUGGAAACGAAUGCUAAUACCUAAUAUUAUGAUAAUAGGGCAUCCUAUAAUUAUGAAAGCUAUAAGCGCUGUGAGAGAGCUUUGCGUCCCAUUAGCUAGUUGGAGAGGUAACGGCUCACCAAGGCGAUGAUGGGUAGCCGGCCUGAGAGGGUGAUCGGCCACAAGGGGACUGAGACACGGCCCUUACUCCUACGGGAGGCAGCAGUGGGGAAUAUGGGACAAUGGACCGAGAGUCUGAUCCAGCAAUUCUGUGUGCACGAUGAAGUUUUUCGGAAUGUAAAGUGCUUUCAGUUGGGAAGAAACAAAUGACGGUACCAGCAGAAGAAGUGACGGCUAAAUACGUG